CAAAGCUUCAUUUGAGCCGAGUCACUGUGUGAUCAGUAUGUUUUGUUUUUUUUUGUUUUUUUUGGGGUAGUUUUUGUGCAUAUGGUGUGCAGAGACAUCUUCAGCCUCAUUAUCAAACCCACACUGCAACUGAGCCUCACAAUUCUGCAGUUAUUCCAGCAUUCUUCAAAAAUCACCUGAGUUGGAUGUUUACUAUUGUGGCCUUUUGGACACGGGUCGUUGAAAGACACAGGGCUUAAAUAAUCAGAACAUAACAAGGAUAUGAACAAGACACAGCUGGAAUCAAAUCAACACAUUGAGCACAGGAACGGGAAUAACCAAAUAAGGGCAUAAUAAACAUGGAGCACAUGGGGGGAGGAAAACAACACAAGACAGGAGCAGAAUCUGACAAUUGUCAAGUCAGUUAGAUAAUGCUGUUGUCAAAUACUCAAGAUCACAUGCUAAGUUCAAACCAUGUUCUACUUGAAGCUGUUCAUAUCCUUGGACCGGGAAC
ensembl:lncRNA